UAAUAGCGUAUAUUAAAGUUGUUGCAGUUAAAAAGCUCGUAGUUUAUAUAAGGCAAGAGCACUAGCGUGCCUUGCCGCACCCUUUUUAGGGCCUUACUUUGAGAAAAUUAGAGUGUUCAUAGCAGGCAAUUGCCUAUAUCCCAUCAGCAUGGAAUAAAUUUAGACGACGCUGUCUAAACUUGGUCUUUAGCACAGCGUAAUGUAUUAUAGAAGCGGUUGGGGGUAUUUGUAUUUUGUGACGAGCGGUGAAAUGCGUGGAACCACGAAAGACAAACUCUUGCGAAAGCGUCUACCCAGGACGCCUNCUUUAA
rnacentral:rRNA from 1 species